GCUCAGAUGGCGGAAUCGGUAGACGCACAGGACUUAAAAUCCUGUGGGCGUUAUGCCCGUGAGGGUUCAAGUCCCUCUCUGAGUA
rnacentral:tRNA from 1 species